rnacentral:rRNA from 1 species
AGCGAACGCUGGCGGCAGGCCUAACACAUGCAAGUCGAACGGAUCCUUCGGGAUUAGUGGCGGACGGGUGAGUAACACGUGGGAACGUGCCCUUUGGUUCGGAACAACUCAGGGAAACUUGAGCUAAUACCGGAUGUGCCCUUCGGGGGAAAGAUUUAUCGCCAUUGGAGCGGCCCGCGUCUGAUUAGCUAGUUGGUGAGGUAACGGCCCACCAAGGCGACGAUCAGUAGCUGGUCUGAGAGGAUGAUCAGCCACACUGGGACUGAGACACGGCCCAGACUCCUACGGGAGGCAGCAGUGGGGAAUCUUGCGCCAUGGGCGAAAGCCUGACGCAGCCAUGCCGCGUGAAUGAUGAAGGUCUUAGGAUUGUAAAAUUCUUUCAGCGGGGACGAUAAUGACGGUACCCGCAGAAGAAGCUCCGGCUAACUUCGUG